UGACGGUACCCUUUCGAAUAAGAGGUUGCUAACUCUGUGCCAGCAGCAGCGGUAAUACAGAGACCUCGAGCGUUAUCCGGAUUUACUGGGCGUAAAGCGUCUGUAGGGGGUUUGUUAAGUUCCAAGUAAAAUCUUAAGGCUCAACUUUAAGUUCGCUUGGAAAACUAAUAAACUGGAGUCCAGCAGAGGUGCAUGGAACUUGCGGUGUAGGAGUGAAAUCCGUUGAUAUCGCAAGGAACACCAAAGGCGAAAGGCAUUGCACUGGGCUGGUACUGACCCUGAGAGACGAAAGCGUGGGGAGCAAAACGGAUUAGAUACCCGUGUAGUCCACGCCGUAAACGAUGGAUACUAGAUGUUCGGGGAUUCGACCCCCUGGGUGUCACAGCUAACGCGUUAAGUAUCCCGCCUGGGAAGUACGGCCGCAAGGCUAAAACUCAAAGGAAUAGACGGGGAUCCGCACAAGCGGUGGAGCGUCUGGUUUAAUUUGAUAGUAAGCAAUGGACCUCACCAAGGUUUGACAUCCUAUGACAACCCUGGAAACAGGGCUUCCUUCGGGCAUAGUGACAGGUGCUGCAUGGUCGUCGUCAGUUCGUGCCGUGAGGUGUUCCGUUAAGUCGGGAAACGAACGAAACCCUCGUCGCAUGUUACAAAUUUCAUGCGAGACUGCCCGGGUCAACCGGGAGGAAGGCGGGGAUGACGUCAGAUCAGCAUGGCCCUUAUACCUUGGGCUACACAGGCGCUACAAUGGCCGGUACAAAGGGUUGCAAAACCGCGAGGUGAAGCUAAUCCCAUAAAGCCGGUCCAAGUUCGGAUUGGAGGCUGCAACUCGCCUCCAUGAAGUUGGAAUCGCUAGUAAUCGUGGAUCAGCCAUACCACGGUGAAUACGUUCCCGGAUCUUGUACUCACCGCCCGUCACACCAAGAGAGUUGGUAGCUCCUGAAGCGUCGCAUUAG
rnacentral:rRNA from 1 species